rnacentral:rRNA from 1 species
GAAUAUUGGACAAUGGGCGAAAGCCUGAUCCAGCCAUGCCGCGUGAGUGAUGAAGGCCCUAGGGUUGUAAAGCUCUUUCGGCGGGGAAGAUAAUGACGGUACCCGCCGAAAAAGCCCCGGCUAACUUCGUUCUAGCCGCCGCGGGAAUACGAAGGGGGCUAGCGUUGUUCGGAAUUACUGGGCGUAAAGCGCGCGUAGGCGGAUUGUUAAGUCAGGGGUGAAAUCCCGAGGCUCAACCUCGGAACUGCCUUUGAUACUGGCAAUCUCGAGUCCGGGAGAGGUGAGUGGAAUUCCUAGUGUAGAGGUGAAAUUCGUAGAUAUUAGGAAGAACACCAGUGGCGAAGGCGGCUCACUGGCCCGGUACUGACGCUGAUGUGCGAAAGCGUGGGGAGCAAACAGG